AAGUAAGAUUCGUAAUUUUAAUAACUCUCAAACAUGCACGUUGUUAUUCCCUAACAGUCAGAGCACAUCUUUACGAUUGUUGCUCUCUGGCAGAUGGUGCACAUUUCUAAAAACGAUAGGUAUCUACCUUCGUAUGUAUAACUCUACUCUCCGAGACCCUCCAAAUAAGUUAACACUUAGUUUGCAUACUUAUUCAUAGAGAUUGAUG
rnacentral:lncRNA from 1 species